rnacentral:rRNA from 1 species
GACGAACGCUGGCGGCGUGCUUAACACAUGCAAGUCGAACGGAAAGGCCCUGCUUUUGUGGGGUGCUCGAGUGGCGAACGGGUGAGUAACACGUGAGUAACCUGCCCUUGACUUUGGGAUAACUUCAGGAAACUGGGGCUAAUACCGGAUAGGAGCUCCUGCUGCAUGGUGGGGGUUGGAAAGUUUCGGCGGUUGGGGAUGGACUCGCGGCUUAUCAGCUUGUUGGUGGGGUAGUGGCUUACCAAGGCUUUGACGGGUAGCCGGCCUGAGAGGGUGACCGGCGACAUUGGGACUGAGAUACGGCCCAGACUCCAACGGGAGGCAGCAGUGGGGAAUAUUGCACAAUGGGAGGAAGCCUGAUGCAGCAACGCCGCGUGCGGGAUGACGGCCUUCGGGUUGUAAACCGCUUUCGCCUGUGACGAAGCGUGAGUGACGGUAAUGGGUAAAGAAGCACCGGCUAACUACGUG